AUUACCUCAAUAAAAACCUUUAAAAAGACUCUAAUAUAUCAACAACUAUAACAAAUAUUUUCAGACUGGCGUUAUCCAAUGUUCAGUUUUCUAUUCUGGAAAUGUAUACAUCUUAAUAAAAACAGUUGUUAAUGUAACCAAUAUUUUUUUUACCCUCUUCACCUGGGGUGUUGUUUUAGAAAACAAACCUACAUGAAAAAAAAUCAUGUGCAAUUUCCAUAAAAAAAUAAGCUUCAACAGAAGGAUCCAAGAUGGACAAAUCCACUCAUAAUUACAGUACUUGAUCUCAUAGGCUGAAAUGAGAGGAUUUAGUAAUGACCUGGCAACACGGCGGACCGUCGGCAGCAUGCUUAAUUCACUCAUUCACUCCCUACUACCAUGGUGUUCAAUCCAAACCCCACUCCUCAAGCUUGGCUUAGUGUUGGCAUGGAAAUCCUGACUGUUUGCUUUCCAAACACAUUCAGACAAGAAAGUACAUGAUCUCGCCAGUCUUAGCCCAGCGGAGCUGAACUACACAGUCGACAAGGACACGGGAACGUCCUUAUCAAUCCACCAGCCGAUCUCAAACGCACACACAAACAGAUAUUAAUGGAUUUGCAUAGAUGUCAAUCUGAUGGCUUGGGUUUCUGAAGACAAGCGGCCAGCAGGGUUUAUGAAAAUGAGCUAUUCCUGCAGUUGCCAGGAAAAUGAACUGGGGCACAGAACAGUGCAGGCAGUGAUCACACGCGGGUUAGAUGGUAGUUGGAGCCGUUAUGACAAGGCAUGGAGGAAGGUGCCUCUGAGUUACUCAUUACAUUCUUUCUGUCCCAUCAUUGCUGCCUUCCUAAUUACCAGGCUAAUUUCUCCAGUCUCUCUGUGCCACUGCCAUCACACAAUGGAGCCUUUGUGUGUGAAAACACGUGUGUGUGUAAGAUGGCUGAGCUCUCGUUCAGCUGAAAUGCAACUGUGGUUCAACCUGACCCCAGCAGUGGGAACUUGUUUGUGGUGAGGUCACCCAGAUAACUUGAACCUACCAGCCAAAACGGUUACAGCUAAUUGUCCAGCUGAGCAGAUUCUUUCCCCCGCAGCAGAACACAGAGGCUCAAGUCCAUUUUCCUGUCUGUUGGAGUUAAAUAGGACUCAUCAACUGACUGAACAGGUGCUGUAUCUUACACCAGACAGAUCCACACACACACACCCACACACAUUAUGCAAUGCAUAUUGAAAUAUUGAAAUAUUCAACAUAUGUUAAUAUAAAUCCAAAAAUUCAAAAAGGAUGUGAAAGCACCAUAAAUUAUCAUAAAAGUAGUUAAAAUGACAAAUGACUGUCAUAAAUCCCAAGUCUUCUGAAAUCAUAUGAUAACUAUUUGUGUGAAAGUUGCUAUUAAAUGAAAUUGUUGACAUAUACCUGACUUCUGAAUGCAUGAAACGAGUAACAAUGAUGGAUUCAUGAAUGACUCAUUCUUGUUCAUCUGACCGUUUACAAUGAAUCAGUUACAAUUUACA